UUACGGUCAAAUCACGCUGAAACACCGGUUCUCGUACGAUCACCGAAGCUAAGCAUCGUAGAGCCAGGUCAGUACUUAGAUGGGGGACCGCUUGGGAACACCUGGUACUGUAAG